rnacentral:rRNA from 1 species
CCAAUAGCGUAUAUUAAAGUCGUUGCAGUUAAAAAGCUCGUAGUUGAACUUCAGGCCUGGCUGGGCGGUCCGCCUUCCGGGCGAGUACUGCCUGUGGUCGGGUCCUACCUUCUGGCGAAGCGUCAUGGCCUUAACCGGCCGUGGCGGGGAACCAGGACUUUUACUGUGAAAAAAUUAGAGUGUUCAAAGCAGGCCCGCGCUUGAAUACAUUAGCAUGGAAUAAUGGAAUAGGACAGUGGUUCUAUUUGUUGGUUUCUAGGACCGUUGUAAUGAUUAAUAGGGAUAGUUGGGGGCAUUAGUAUUCAAUUGUCAGAGGUGAAAUUCUUGGAUUUAUUGAAGACUAACUACUGCGAAAGCAUUUGCCAAGGAUGUUUUCAUUAAUCAAGAACGAAAGUUAGGGGAUCGAAGACGAUCAGAUACCGUCGUAGUCUUAACCAUAAACUAUGCCGACUAGGAAUCGGGCGAUGUUGACAAAAUGACGCGCUCGGCACCUCAUG